AGCAUGUGGUUUAAUUCGAUGCAACGCGAAGAACCUUACCUACUCUUGACAUCCAGAGAAUUCGCUAGAGAUAGCUUAGUGCCUUCGGGAACUCUGAGACAGGUGCUGCAUGGCUGUCGUCAGCUCGUGUUGUGAAAUGUUGGGUUAAGUCCCGCAACGAGCGCAACCCUUAUCCUUUGUUGCCAGCACGUAAUGGUGGGAACUCAAAGGAGACUGCCGGUGAUAAACCGGAGGAAGGUGGGGAUGACGUCAAGUCAUCAUGGCCCUUACGAGUAGGGCUACACACGUGCUACAAUGGCGUAUACAAAGAGAAGCGAACUCGCGAGAGCAAGCGGACCUCAUAAAGUACGUCGUAGUCCGGAUCGGAGUCUGCAACUCGACUCCGUGAAGUCGGAAUCGCUAGUAAUCGUAGAUCAGAAUGCUACGGUGAAUACGUUCCCGGGCCUUGUACACACCGCCCGUCACACCAUGGGAGUGGGUUGCAAAAGAAGUAGGUAGCUUAACCUUCGGGAGGGCGCUUACCACUUUGUGAUUCAUGACUGGGGUG
rnacentral:rRNA from 1 species